rnacentral:tRNA from 1 species
CUCAGCAUCGUCUAGUUGGUUUAUGGCGCCAGACUGUAAUUGCAAAAGCACAUCUGGAUGUCGGCGGUUCGAAUCCGCCUGCUGAGA